UGCACGACUGUGAGUUGGGAUUGC
rnacentral:piRNA from 1 species